rnacentral:lncRNA from 1 species
UUUCAAAAGAGUUUUAUUGAGUCAAGAAGGGGAUAAUGAACUUCUUAGAUUUUCACUUGUUAUCUAACCACCCUUUAGCACCAUUCUAGACUUACUGAUUGCAGAUAGUACUAAAGAAACUAAAGUGGAUCAACCUGUCAACUAUUCACACUUGCUGAGAUUGUUUGAAGGAACCCAAGCUGACCUCCAACACUAAACCUGACACAACUGCUUGUCUUGGGGCUUGGUAUACAUGGGAUCAGAUUCUUCAAAUAAGUCUGGAAGGUAAAGCCUUUUGUAGAUUUAUCACCUUUUCACUCUCUGUUUCGACCCUAGAUUUAUAGGUAGAGAUAUUUAUUUAUUAAAAAAACGAAAAGAAAAGAAAGAAAAAUAAAAAAUGAAAAUAUAUAUAUGUAUAUAAUAGGUGUUAGUUAGGUGGAAUCUGAACAGGACUUGGUGGCUAAAACCAUUAAGGCUUGCUUCAUAAGGAUUCCAACAAAAAGAAUUCAAACGGGACUUGGUGGCGGCAAUCUUCAAGGCUCGAUUCAUAUGAAUUCUUGGAUAUAGGUCAAAAAGAAGUGAACAGGACUUGGUGGCAACCACCAUUAAGGCUUGAUUCAUGGAAGCCUGUCCAAUCUUGGUCAAUGAUCUUACAAUAUAAGCAGACUUUAACUAAAGAGAGAAAUUAGUGGAGAGAAAAGAUAGGAAUUAACUUUUACCUGCAGAUCCAGAUAUUUGUUUAAAAAUCGUUGCAUCCUGUGAUCGAUACUCCCAAGGUGAAGCCUACACUUUCAAUUAUGUUAAGAAAUGAGGUUGGUAUAGGGGAAUAUCAAACAGGAUUUGUUAAGUUGUUGGCUAGGUGAAUUUGGUUGCUAAGCUAGGAUAUGGUAUAAUGUGCUUUUGUGAUUAGGACUUCUUAGAUGUGGAUUGCGAUAUUGUAGAGGUUAAGAUUCUAUGAUUUAAAUAUGCGAGUCCCUGCUGUUUUCAAACCUCUUUCAGAGAGACUGCCUGU